UACGGAGGGGGCUAGCGUUAUUCGGAAUUAUUGGGCGUAAAGGGCGCGUAGGCGGCCAUGCGUGUCUUCCGUGAAAUCCCUCGGCUUAACUGAGGACGUGCGGAAGAAACUGCAAGGCUCGAGUCCGGGAGAGGGGGGUGGAAUUCCCAGUGUAGCGGUGAAAUGCGUAGAUAUUGGGAGGAACACCGGUGGCGAAGGCGGCUCUCUGGACCACAACUGACGCUGAUGCGCGAAAGCUAGGGGAGCAAACAGG
rnacentral:rRNA from 1 species